ensembl:snRNA Gm23926 predicted gene, 23926
UCACUUCGGCAGCACAUAUUCUAAAAUUGGAAUGAUACAGAGAAGAUUAGCAUGGCCCCUGUGCAAAUUCAUGAAGCAUUCCAUAAUUUU